rnacentral:tRNA from 1 species
CCUUCGAUAGCUCAGUUGGUGGAGCGGAGGACUGAAGAUCUUUAGGUUCGAAUUCAACUCGAUGGA